GGGCCCGCACAAGCGGUGGAGUAUGUGGUUUAAUUCGAUGCAACGCGAAGAACCUUACCAGGGUUUGACAUCCUGCGAAUCUCUUGGAAACAGGAGAGUGCCUUCGGGAACGCAGUGACAGGUGGUGCAUGGCUGUCGUCAGCUCGUGUCGUGAGAUGUUGGGUUAAGUCCCGCAACGAGCGCAACCCACGUCUUUAGUUGCCAGCAUUUAGUUGGGCACUCUAGAGAGACUGCCGGUGAUAAACCGGAGGAAGGUGUGGAUGACGUCAAGUCAUCAUGCCCCUUACAUCCUGGGCUACACACGUACUACAAUGGGCUAGGACGACGGCCCCGCAAAACCCCGCGAGG
rnacentral:rRNA from 1 species